CUACGGGAGGCUCCAGGCGCGAAACCUUUACAAUGCACGCAAGUGUGAUAAGGGGAUCCUAAGUGCUCAUACAUUGUAUGGGCUUUUGUUAAGAGUAAAUAUCUUAGCGAAUAAGUGGUGGGUAAGACUGGUGCCAGCCGCCGCGGUAACACCAGCGCCACAAGUGGCAACCACGUUUAUUGGGCCUAAAGCGUCCGUAGCCGGUUUGGAAAAUCUCUUGUGAAAUCGACAGGCUCAACUUGUCGGCGUGCUUGAGACACUACUAAACUAGAGACCGGGAGGAGUCAGAGGUAUUCCAGGGGGAGCGGUAAAAUGUGAUAAUCCUUGGAGGACCAUCUAUGGCGAAGGCAUCUGACCAGAACGGAUCUGACGGUGAGGGACGAAGGCUAGGGGAGCGAUCCGGAUUAGAUACCCCUGUAGUC
rnacentral:rRNA from 1 species